GACGAACGCUGGCGGCGUGCUUAACACAUGCAAGUCGAACGGAAAGGCCCCUUUGGGGGUACUCGAGUGGCGAACGGGUGAGUAAUACGUGAGUAACCUGCCCUUGACUUCGGGAUAACUUCAGGAAACUGGGGCUAAUACCGGAUAGGAAUCCUUGCUGCAUGGUGGGGGUUGGAAAGCUUGGGCGGUUUUGGAUGGACUCGCGGCUUAUCAGCUUGUUGGUGGGGUAGUGGCUUACCAAGGCUUUGACGGGUAGCCGGCCUGAGAGGGCGACCGGCCACAUUGGGACUGAGAGACGGCCCAGACUCCUACGGGAGGCAGCAGUGGGGAAGAUUGCACAAUGGGCGGAAGCCUGAUGCAGCAACGCCGCGUGCGGGAUGACGGCCUUCGGGUUGUAAACCGCUUUCAGCAGGGGCGAAGCUUGUGGUGACGGUACCUGCAGAAGAAGCACCGGCUAACUACGUG
rnacentral:rRNA from 1 species